CACAUUAGUUAGUUGGUGGGGUAAAGGCCUACCAAGACUAUGAUGUGUAGCUGGGCUGAGAGGUUGAACGGCCACAUUGGGACUGAGACACGGCCCAAACUCCUACGGGAGGCAGCAGUAGGGAAUUUUCGGCAAUGGAGGAAACUCUGACCGAGCAACGCCGCGUGAACGAUGAAGUAUUUCGGUACGUAAAGUUCUUUUAUUAGGGAAGAAUAAAUGAUGGAAAAAUCAUUCUGACGGUACCUAAUGAAUAAGCCCCGGCUAACUAUGUGCCAGCAGCCGCGGUAAUACAUAGGGGGCAAGCGUUAUCCGGAAUUAUUGGGCGUAAAGGGUGCGUAGGCGGUUAAAUAAGUUUAUGGUCUAAGUGCAAUGCUCAACAUUGUGAUGCUAUAAAAACUGUUUAGCUAGAGUAAGAUAGAGGCAAGUGGAAUUUCAUGUGUAGUGGUAAAAUGCGUAAAUAUAUGGAGGAACACCAGUAGCGAAGGCGGCUUGCUGGGUCUUUACUGACGCUGAGGCACGAAAGCGUGGGGAGCAAACAGGAUUAGAUACCCUGGUAGUCCACGCCGUAAACGAUGAGUACUAAACGUUGGGUAAAACCAGUGUUGAAGUUAACACAUUAAGUACUCCGCCUGAGUAGUACGUACGCAAGUAUGAAACUUAAAGGAAUUGACGGGACUCCGCACAAGCGGUGGAUCAUGUUGUUUAAUUCGAAGGUACCCGAAAAACCUCACCAGGUCUUGACAUGCUUCUGCAAAGCUGUAGAAACACAGUGGAGGUUAUCAGUUGCACAGGUGGUGCAUGGUUGUCGUCAGCUCGUGUCGUGAGAUGUUGGGUUAAGUCCCGCAACGAGCGCAACCCUUAUUGUUAGUUACCAGCACGUAAUGGUGGGGACUUUAGCAAGACUGCCAGUGAUAAAUUGGAGGAAGGUGGGGACGACGUCAAAUCAUCAUGCCCCUUAUGACCUGGGCUACAAACGUGAUACAAUGGCUGUUACAAAGGGUAGCUGAAGCGCAAGUUUUUGGCGAAUCUCAAAAAAACAGUCUCAGUUCGGAUUGAAGUCUGCAACUCGACUUCAUGAAGUUGGAAUCGCUAGUAAUCGCGAAUCAG
rnacentral:rRNA from 1 species